CGCUCCCUCCCUCCCCAUCCCACCCCCCUCCUUCCCCUCAAUCCAGCCCUCAUGACCCUGACCCUGGCCGCGGCUGCAGGCGGCUCGCCCAGGCGCGCAGCCCUCGGUCCCACCUCCCUCUGGCUCGGGCCUGAGCAUUCCGCAGUCUCGGUCGGCCCGGGCCUCUUCUCUGCUGCUCUGCUCCCCCAAGGGCUUUCUGUGCCCCACUCCUGCCCAGGUAGGGCUGCCUUGUCUUGGGUCCUUUACGGGGGACCAUUCCUCAGCGUCCCUGAGACACUCAUCCUGGGAUUUCUUCCCCUAAAUACAGACAUUCUCAAACCAAAUGAGACCUCGAUGAGGUCCCUACACCUGAUCCCGCCUCCCACUCCCUGAGCCACACUGAGAAGGAAGGUCUCUCCUUUUGGGAGGACUCUGGCGCCUGCAACCUUGAUCGACAGCAAAGAUGUCCAGUGUGUAUCCUGCAUCUGCCUUUCCUGACCAUUCGUCGUGUCCCAUUCUCCGUGGGAUAGAUUCUCAUGGGGAGUGGGGGAGCCUUCGGGUGUGGCAGAACGGCAUGAUGGAAUUCAUAAGGUGAGCAGAAACUCAAGGAAAACUGUCCAAAUACCGGCUCGACUCCUGGGUACGCUGAAGCAAGGAUGAAGAAGCUCUGGGACUUUGCACGUCAGUAACCACCAACACCAUGCCUCUGGUUCCCACACCGCAGGGAUCACCUGAAGUAGAGGAUCUCAUGUAACUUCAUGGCUCUCUCUGUACUUCUGUUUCUUUAUCUGUAAGAUGGGGAUCAGAAACUCUGUCUUAAGGAGUUGUUUUGAGGAUUAAAUGAGGAAACAUGAAAAGCAA
rnacentral:sRNA from 1 species